GUCCUUUUGUAGUCCGUGAGCAUGACGAUUGGGUUUUCACAUGCACGUGUGAGAUGGGGCUCCUUCAGAUCUAAUUACAACAUAGGCACAUUACUCAUCUCAUA